rnacentral:rRNA from 1 species
CAGCCGCCGCGGGAAUACGAAGGGGGCUAGCGUUGUUCGGAUUUACUGGGCGUAAAGGGCGCGUAGGCGGGCGAAUAAGUCAGGGGCGAAAUCCCAAGGCUCAACCUUGGAACUGCCUUUGAUACUGUUUGUCUUGAGUUCGAGAGAGGUAAGUGGAACUGCGAGUGUAGAGGUGAAAUUCGUAGAUAUUCGCAAGAACACCAGUGGCGAAGGCGGCUUACUGGCUCGAAACUGACGCUGAGGCGCGAAAGCGUGGGGAGCAAACAGGAUUAGAUACCCCCGUAGUCCCUGUCUCUUAUAA